UAGUCAGUUUUACUAUGAUGAGUGCUCCUUG
rnacentral:piRNA from 1 species